rnacentral:rRNA from 1 species
AACGAACGCUGGCGGCAUGCCUAACACAUGCAAGUCGAACGAGACCUUCGGGUCUAGUGGCGCACGGGUGCGUAACGCGUGGGAACCUGCCCUUAGGUUCGGAAUAACUCCCCGAAAGGGGUGCUAAUACCGGAUAAUGUCUUCGGACCAAAGAUUUAUCGCCUUUGGAUGGGCCCGCGUUGGAUUAGCUAGUUGGUAGGGUAAAAGCCUACCAAGGCGACGAUCCAUAGCUGGUCUGAGAGGAGGAUCAGCCACACUGGGACUGGGACACGGCCCAGACUCCUACGGGAGGCAGCAGUAGGGAAUAUUGGACAAUGGGCGAAAGCCUGAUCCAGCAAUGCCGCGUGAGUGAUGAAGGCCUUAGGGUUGUAAAGCUCUUUUACCCGGGAUGAUAAUGACAGUACCGGGAGAAUAAGCUCCGGCUAACUCCGU